UACGGAGGGUGCAAGCGUUAUCCGGAUUCACUGGGUUUAAAGGGUGCGUAGGUGGGAAUGUAAGUCAGUGGUGAAAUCUCCGUGCUUAACAUGGAACUGCCAUUGAUACUAUGUUUCUUGAAUUUUCUGGAGUUCAGCGGAUAAUGUCAUGUAGCGGUGAAAUGCUUAGAUAUGACAUAGAACACCAAAUUGCGAAGGCAGCUGACUACAGGGGAUAUUGACACUGAGGCACGAAAGCGUGGGAUCAAACAGGA
rnacentral:rRNA from 1 species